rnacentral:rRNA from 1 species
UACGAAGGGGGCUAGCGUUGCUCGGAAUUACUGGGCGUAAAGGGCGCGUAGGCGGCACUGUUAGUCAGGCGUGAAAUUCCUGGGCUCAACCUGGGGACUGCGCUUGAUACGGCGGAGCUAGAGGAUGGAAGAGGCUCGCGGAAUUCCCGGUGUAGAGGUGAAAUUCGUAGAUAUUGGGAAGAACACCGGUGGCGAAGGCGGCGAGCUGGUCCAUUACUGACGCUGAGGCGCGACAGCGUGGGGAGCAAACAGGAUUAGAUACCCUGGUAGUCCACGCCGUAAACGAUGUGCGCUGGACGUUGGGUGGCCUAGCCACUCAGUGUCGUAGCUAACGCGGUAAGCGCACCG